rnacentral:snRNA from 1 species
UUGCUUUCACAGCACAUAUGAUAAAAUUGGGAUGAUAGGGAGAUUAGAAUGGUCCCAUACAAGGAUGACUCAUAAAUUUGUGAUGCAUUCCAUAUUAAA